UACAGAGGGUGCGAGCGUUAAUCGGAAUUACUGGGCGUAAAGCGCACGUAGGCGGCUUGGUAUGUCGGGUGUGAAAUCCCCGAGCUUAACUUGGGAAUUGCGCUCGAAACUACGUGGCUAGAGUGUGGCAGAGGGAGGUGGAAUUCCACGUGUAGCGGUGAAAUGCGUAGAGAUGUGGAGGAACACCAAUGGCGAAGGCAGCCUCCUGGGCCAACACUGACACUCAUGCACGAAAGCGUGGGGAGCAAACAGG
rnacentral:rRNA from 1 species